CAGACCGCCAGCUAAGGUCCCAAAUUACUACUAAGUGGGAAACGAUGUGGGAAGGCUCAGACAGCCAGGAUGUUGGCUUAGAAGCAGCCAUCAUUUAAAGAAAGCGUAAUAGCUCACUGGUCGAGUCGGCCUGCGCGGAAGAUGUAACGGGGCUAAGUAGUAAACCGAAGCUGCGGCAAUAUACUUUUGUAUAUUGGGUAGGGGAGCGUUCUGUAAGCGGUUGAAGGUGUGUGGUAACGCAUGCUGGACGUAUCAGAAGUGCGAAUGCUGACAUGAGUAACGAUAAAGGGGGUGAAAAACCUCCUCGCCGGAAGACCAAGGGUUCCUGUCCAACGUUAAUCGGGGCAGGGUAAGUCGACCCCUAAGGCGAGGCCGAAAGGCGUAGUCGAUGGGAAACGGGUUAAUAUUCCCGUACUUCUUACAAUUGCGAUGGGGGGACGGAGAAGGCUAGGUGGGCCUGGCGACGGUUGUCCAGGUUCAAGUGCGUAGGCUUAAGAGUUAGGUAAAUCCGGCUCUUUUUAAGGCUGAGACACGACGUCGAGCUACUACGGUAGUGAAGUCAUUGAUGCCAUGCUUCCAGGAAAAGCCUCUAAGCUUCAGAUUGUAAGGAAUCGUACCCCAAACCGACACAGGUGGUCGGGUAGAGAAUACCAAGGCGCUUGAGAGAACUCGGGUGAAGGAACUAGGCAAAAUGGUACCGUAACUUCGGGAGAAGGUACGCUCUCGACGGUGAAGUCCCUUGCGGAUGGAGCUAUUGAGAGUCGCAGAUACCAGGUGGCUGCAACUGUUUAUUAAAAACACAGCACUGUGCAAAAUCGUAAGAUGACGUAUACGGUGUGACGCCUGCCCGGUGCCGGAAGGUUAAUUGAUGGGGUUAGACUUCGGUCGAAGCUCUUGAUCGAAGCCCCGGUAAACGGCGGCCGUAACUAUAACGGUCCUAAGGUAGCGAAAUUCCUUGUCGGGUAAGUUCCGACCUGCACGAAUGGCGUAAUGAUGGCCACGCUGUCUCCACCCGAGACUCAGUGAAAUUGAAAUCGCUGUGAAGAUGCAGUGUACCCGCGGCUAGACGGAAAGACCCCGUGAACCUUUACUACAGCUUGGCACUGAACAUUGACCCUACAUGUGUAGGAUAGGUGGGAGGCUUUGAAGCAGGUACGCCAGUAUCUGUGGAGCCGUCCUUGAAAUACCACCCUUGUAGUGUUGAUGUUCUAACGUCGACCCCUUAUCGGGGUUGCGGACAGUGCCUGGUGGGUAGUUUGACUGGGGCGGUCUCCUCCCAAAGAGUAACGGAGGAGCACGAAGGUGGGCUAAUCACGGUUGGACAUCGUGAGGUUAGUGCAAUGGCAUAAGCCCGCUUGACUGCGAGAAUGACAAUUCGAGCAGGUGCGAAAGCAGGUCAUAGUGAUCCGGUGGUUCUGAAUGGAAGGGCCAUCGCUCAACGGAUAAAAGGUACUCCGGGGAUAACAGGCUGAUACCGCCCAAGAGUUCAUAUCGACGGCGGUGUUUGGCACCUCGAUGUCGGCUCAUCACAUCCUGGGGCUGAAGUCGGUCCCAAGGGUAUGGCUGUUCGCCAUUUAAAGUGGUACGCGAGCUGGGUUUAGAACGUCGUGAGACAGUUCGGUCCCUAUCUGCCGUGGGCGUUGGAAGAUUGAAGGGGGCUGCUCCUAGUACGAGAGGACCGGAGUGGACGAACCUCUGGUGUUCGGGUUGUGUCGCCAGACGCAUUGCCCGGUAGCUAAGUUCGGAAUCGAUAACCGCUGAAAGCAUCUAAGCGGGAAGCGAGCCCUGAGAUGAGUCUUCCCUGAUACUUUAAGUAUCCUAAAGGGUUGUCGGAGACUACGACGUUGAUAGGUCAGGUGUGUAAGUGCUGUGAGGCAUUGAGCUAACUGAUACUAAUUGCCCGUGAGGCUUAACCAUACAACACCCAAGGGGUUU
rnacentral:rRNA from 1 species